CCCUAGCCCCGAUUGUAGUGGAAAUCCUUUUGCGGCCGCAGUCCCGACGCUUCGGGACGGAGACCGUAAAAGAUUGCAACGGAAAGCGGGAUUAAGC
rnacentral:sRNA from 1 species